rnacentral:misc_RNA from 1 species
UACAAUAGAACAUGAUAGUGGUAUUUUGACCUCUUGUUUGUCAUAAAAAUCAUUGCUGACAAAGAUAUACAACAUUAUGACCCUUAAAUUUGUUCUGGUUAGUCUUUUUCUCGUUCUGUUAAUUUCUUCUCUUGGUAUUGCGUGGAACACAUAUGCAUGAAUCAUGUUCUCUUGUUAUUUGCACUGAGUAUUAUUCAGUAAAUACUUUCAGGGCUAUGUGAUUUAUCGUGUCCGUGUUAGACGUGGUGGUAGGAAGAGGCCUGUUCCCAAGGGUAUUGUCUAUGGUAAACCGACCAACCAGGGUGUGACUCAACUGAAGUUUCAGCGGAGCAAGAGGUCUGUUGCAGAGGAGCGUGCUGGUAGAAAAUUGGGAGGUCUUAGGGUUCUUAAUUCAUACUGGAUUAAUGAGGAUUCUACUUACAAGUAUUUUGAGGUAAUUAUGGUUGAUGUUGCACAUAAUGCUGUCCGGAAUGACCCAAGGAUCAACUGGCUCUGCAAUCCUGUUCACAAGCACAGGGAGCUCAGGGGCCUCACUUCUGCCGGGAAGAAAUACAGGGGUCUACGAGGAAAGGGACAUUUGCACCACAAGAAUCGUCCUUCUCGCAGGGCAACCUGGAAGAGAAACAACACUCUCUCCCUUCGUCGCUACCGUUGAGUUCAUUGAUGUGCUUGAAAUUGUUUCUUCAUGGAUUUUGUCUAGAGGAUAAAGUAGUUAUCAUUUUGAGCUUGAAAUUAUGGAUGUUGAAAUGCUUGGACUUCACUGUUUUGGAAACCUGACAGUCUAGGUUAAAAUGUUGAGCUUCUCGAUUUUGCAUUAUGUAAGUGGUUGUCAAAGAGGUGGCUAUUUCAAAAUUUUCAAGUAAUUGACCAAUGGCGUAUUGACACUUAGUUCUGUACUUUCUAUUCAUAUUUUCAAAUGAAUUGAAGGUUUGACUCCAAUUUGGCAAAUUUCAGUUUAUUUGGAGUUGAUUUAGAUA